rnacentral:rRNA from 1 species
CCCCACUAUGCCAAGUCGUAAACUUUAAUUUACACCCUCCUCGCCAGGAUAUUACGAGCUAAACUUAAAACCCAAAGGACUUGACGGUGUCCCCAUAUCCCCCUAGAGGAGCCUGUCCUAUAAUUGAUACCCCCCGCUUAACCUCACCACUCUUUGCCUCUCAGCUUGUAUACUUCCGUCGUCAGCCAACCACAUGAGUGAAAUCCAGUAGGCUUAAUGUCUGUGCACCAAACGUCAGGUCAAAGUGCAGCAAAUAGAGUGGGAACAGAUGGGCUACAUUUUCUAACUUAGAAAACAACGAAAGACUCCAUGAAAUCAGAGUCAGAAGGUGGAUUUAGAAGUAAAAAGAAAUUAGAGUGUUCUUUUUAACCCGGCACUGGGGCAUGUACACAC